AUUAUUUGUACAUACAUAUAUAGCGCGUCGUUUAUUUUUAUUUUUUGCUUUGUUUUUCUUUUUAAAUGAGUUUCGGUCGAGUCGAUGAUACUUCUAUUUAGUAAAACACACGAAAAUGGAAGAUUUAUUUUUUUGCUUCGUUUUUUUUUUUGUUAUUGUGUGCGCCUCUGUGUGUUUGUGUGUCUCAAGUGAGUGAGAACGUUCUGGUGGGGGUGAAGUGAUGGGAGGGGAGGCUGUGGGGGAGAGUUGAGAGCGAGCGGGUGUGUGAUGAGCACUUCCGCUUCCGCUGCUAGUGGGGCAAUUAUACUGCUACUAAAACCGUUCGAGCGCAAAUAAAUACCAAGAACAACAAAACACUAACCAUUGAGCAGCGCUGGAAAGAGAGACGGAAAGUGAGAGAGCUUAGGCCGACUAGCCGACUAAUUGUUACCCAGCAACUGCUGAAAAGUCCACUAAAUACGACGCGACCUACCAGAGGUACAAUUUAACAGGGUUUCAAUGCAAACGCUAUAUUCCAGCGGAGUUUCAAUCCAUAUGUCGUACGGCCUGUCCAUCCGCCCCUCCACAAAGGGAAGGGCUGAGGGAAUGGCCGCAGUAAAAGAAAUAAAAAAGCUAGGCGGAGUGGCGCCAAAAUACAAGAAGAAGUAUUAGAUCAUUUCAAUACCAUCAAAAAGGAAAAAAAACACUACACCUUAUACUCCAGACACCAAUGGCUCCUCUCAAGUGAAUGUACACACAAAGCAAAGCGAAAACGGAACCACGACAACGCAUGUAUAAUAGAGGGAUAACUUUAAAGGAUUACAAUAUGUACCUACGUACUCCCAAUUACGUAAAUACAUCUGCAUGUACAUAUGUACAUACUUAUGCAGAAGUACAUAUGUAUCUAGUUAGGGACGUGUCUUAUAGAGUCUUCUGCUUAAUGGAUUUCAGUUGGAACUGCAGAAAAAUAUCAAUAGAAGACGAAGCCUGUGACUGUAGCCACCCUGUAGAGGCGUCACUUGAUUGUUCUUGUUGCUGUUGCUUGUUCAAGGGGCACACGUCAAUAAUUGCGCUUGAAAAGAAGUUAAGGAAAACACAAUCAAGCAGAAGCAGAAGCAGCAGCAGUAGAGUGGCAAUGGUAGUGGCGGCGGCAGGAGGACCAAGAGGCAAGAGGCAGCCAAGCGGUGGAGGUCCUACCAAGAUCUCUGCAGUCAGUCGGUCCCCUUUCGAACUUUAAUGUGAAAAUCAUGCAAUGAACCAAAUUCAAACGGAAAUGAUUCACACUCCAGCUGAAACACAAUUCAAGUAGGGGAACGGAACCCCAGAACCCCCGACAACCAGAAGCAAAAGUACAAUAUAAAUAUAUGUACAUACUAUGUAUGUUGAUGCAGAAGGCGGAUGGACGGACGGGGGUCUCAAAUCGAAAUUGCGUUUUCAACAACAAUUGUUACAACAACAAUGACGCCAUUUGGAAGAACAAUAACAAUUUCACCCCCAUAAGAUGUCUAAGAGCGAGAGAGAGAGGCACAGAGAGACAGGGACUGAGACUGAGUCCGGGUACCGAUGAAAGCAGAUGAAACACUCGAGGGAGGACCGACCGACCACCGCCACAUGUCGAGGAGCAUGUGCCCCAAGACAAAUGUCAACGCAAAUAUUUCACUUCCUGUUCUUUUUCCCAUUUAUUCGGAGAUUCCCCCGUUCGUUUGUUCGACUUCACUGCAAAGCUUCGACAAAAGGUUCAAAGGUCAAGGAUUUUCACGUUUAAUUAGACAUGGAUACGGUUUUUCAUCAUCAUCACCAGCAGAGAAUCCAGCAUUCAGCAUCCAGCAUCCAGCAUCCGCGAGGGCGUUUGCGUAGGCGGCAACGGCGACGGCGACGACAAAGAAGCGGUAUUUAAAUUUCCAAUUAGCCCAGUGAGAGGGCGUAUGGUGUGUGUCUUCUGUAUGCCACAUUUUCUGCGGUUUCUUUGCCCUUUUCGAGGGGAGACACCCUGCCAGCCAGGAGCCAAAAAAAAUUCUAUAAAAAUAAAACAAUAAUUCAUUAAAGAUUUGUAAAGCCCCCAAAUCUAUAAGAAAAAGUAGCUUUGGUUCAUGGAGUAAAACGGGGUCUAUAUUUCUUCAAAAUGAUGCCACGCGGGCACUUUUGUGGCACUGAAUCGCAUACGCAUCCGCGGGUUCCACAUCUGGGGAAGCCAGAAAGGUAUGAUCCAGCAGCCACUGGAGGGUGGCAUCGGAAAUGGUUCGGGAGAUCUAAUAUCCUUACAGCUACCGUUGUCCGUCCUCUCGUGCCAAAGGCAGGAACACACAGAAGCAGGAGCUUUCGUCUGCCAAGUAUUUUGAAGUGUUUGUCAUUUGAACUUGAAUUAAAUUUCGACUUAUUGUUUUCAUGUGGUGCUGUAACACCUUCGGGGAAUGCUGCCACCGAUGGACUCUGGAUAAUCAAUCUGUAAUCUCAGGUUGACGAAGACUGACUCAAGUGUUGCAGCAUGCGUACAAGCUGGUACACGAUCGUGCGUUACCCAACACUGGUGGCGGAUGGCUCUGGAACUUUCUGGAAGAUAUUGGUAAAAGAAAAAAUCGAUUGAGUGUCCACAUUUGACGACCCUUUGGCCAACCGCUUUGUGUGUUCCUCACCGGCGUUUUUGUGCCGGGCUCAAUAAAAGCGCCCAUUGCCUAUCGUCACGUCAAGUGGAACCCACGAGAUGUCCUCAAUGACACAGCUAAGCAGCUAUUUUGCCAUUUUGCGAAGCUGCUGAAUGUUAAAUAUGUAGUUGCCAGAGGUCCAGACGGAUGAAGUGCGCCUGUCACGCGCAGCCGUUGCUCAGCUCAUGGCGCGGAGCCACCGCUUUUCUACAGAUUUCUGAAGACGCUAUGGAGAAAGGCAUUGCAAUCUCGCAGCUCAUGGCUUAUGAUAUAAAGCUCUUCAUGUAUGAUACCCAGAAGAACAACUUUAUCCAUUGGCACACAUUUGAUCGAUUUGAUCUACCAUUCCUACCAUAUAAAAGACUCAAGGAACAUUGAUCUAUCGGUACGGCGUCCAUCAAUGAUAUACGAGUAUGGCAGCUCCCAGGAGAAACUCAACAAGAUAUUUCCCACUCUAGAAAGGAUCCGAGUCAGUCGCAUAAUGAUGGACUUGUGCGGGGAAAUCCAAAGGAAUGGUAAUCAAAGAUUUUUGCCAGUCUUAUGGCAGCUGGGAAUUGAUUACAUGGACUGUUGCAAGCAUGGAGCUGCUUUGGCAUACCCUUAGCCAGGCAGAGAGGCCUGACUGAUUAAAAGCCAGAAAGCAGGAGACGCUCUCAGGAUGCUGUGAUGGUCACAGGAAUACCUGAAAGUAUACCGAAGGUGGCCAUCGGUCAAACCUCUUUAAACGGCCAUCGAUAUCGAUGUUGUGUAGAAGCAAAGGCUAUAGGCUAUAGGUCAAACGCAUAAAACCCUAAUUUAAUAAAAAAGGCACCGUCAAUGUCUUAAAACAGUCGGUCAAUCUUAACUGAAUACAUCAGAUAAUUGAUGUACAUCUUAAAGAGAUAAGCUAUAUGGUCAUCGGUUUCUGAAGUAUAGUCCAAUUCUUGGAGCACCAUUAGCAAAGAUAUCGUGGAACUGUGACUCUCCGGAACGGAACUGAGCUCGUUGAAAGCCAUUUCGAUUCUAGUUAUUUGUGCCUUUUUUCUUAAAUCAGAUUCCUAAGUGGAUUAUGUAUUGUAUAUACAAGCAACAGUUUUCCCUUUUCGCGGAUAAAUCGCAAGAAGAAGGCCAUGCGCUCCAAGAAGGAGAGACGCUAGGGGAAUAUUGCAUUGGAGAGUCUGCGGAGUAUGCACAGAUCGGUAGGAGAGAGCCACCGAUGGGCUAAUCCCGACGAACAACUUGGCUAAACGCGGUAGGAAAACGCAAGGAAGGCGCAAAAGAGUAAAGUAAAGAUGCAGUUCGAAACAUUAGAGACAAACCAGACCCAAACCCAAACAGAUUUAAAUGCAAGCAUUUACCAUCCAUAGCUUUAUUUAUUGUUAAUCAAACACAUUGUACUUCGUAUGUGGAUUAGAGUUAAUUGGUUCAGCGGGAUGCUGAUGGUCCAUCAUCUAAACUAAGUCAAAUAAGGAACUUGAUAUUCAUGUGUAUGUUGUGGUAAUUUUGUGAAGUUAGCAAUA